UACGUAGGGUGCAAGCGUUGUCCGGAAUUAUUGGGCGUAAAGAGCUCGUAGGCGGUCUGUUACGUCGGCUGUGAAAACCCGAGGCUCAACCUCGGGCCUGCAGUCGAUACGGGCAAACUAGAGUACUGCAGGGGAGACUGGAAUUCCUGGUGUAGCGGUGAAAUGCGCAGAUAUCAGGAGGAACACCUGUGGUGUAGACAGCUUACUGGACCACUUCUGACGCUGAGACACGAAAGCGUGGGUAGCAAACAGG
rnacentral:rRNA from 1 species